GCAUAUCAAUAAGCGGAGGAAAAGAAACCAACAGGGAUUGCCUCAGUAACGGCGAGUGAAGCGGCAAAAGCUCAAAUUUGAAAUCUAGCACCUUCGGUGUUCGAGUUGUAAUUUGAAGAUGGUAACCUUGGGUUUGGCUCUUGUCUAUGUUCCUUGGAACAGGACGUCAUAGAGGGUGAGAAUCCCGUCUGAUGAGAUGCCCAUUCCUAUGUAAGGUGCUAUCGAAGAGUCGAGUUGUUUGGGAAUGCAGCUCUAAGUGGGUGGUAAAUUCCAUCUAAAGCUAAAUAUUGGCGAGAGACCGAUAGCGAACAAGUACAGUGAUGGAAAGAUGAAAAGAACUUUGAAAAGAGAGUGAAAAAGUACGUGAAAUUGUUGAAAGGGAAGGGCAUUAGAUCAGACUUGGUGUUUUACGAUUAUCUUCUCUUCUUGAGUUGUGCACUCGUAUUUCACUGGGCCAGCAUCGAUUCGGAUGGCAAGAUAAUGGCAGUUGAAUGUGGCUUCACUUCGGUGGAGUGUUAUAGCUUCUGCUGAUAUUGCCUGUCUGGAUCGAGGGCUGCGUCUUUUGACUAGGAUGCUGGCGUAAUGAUCUAAUGCCGCCCGUCUUGAAACAC
rnacentral:rRNA from 1 species